UAAGGAAUAUUGGUCAAUGGGGGCAACCCUGAACCAGCCAUGCCGCGUGCAGGAUGACUGCCCUACGGGUUGUAAACUGCUUUUGUCAGGGAAUAAACCUUUCCACGAGUGGGAAGCUGAAUGUACCUGAAGAAUAAGGAUCGGCUAACUCCGUGCCAGCAGCCGCGGUAAUACGGAGGAUCCGAGCGUUAUCCGGAUUUAUUGGGUUUAAAGGGUGCGUAGGCGGCCAUUUAAGUCAGAGGUGAAAUACGGCAGCUCAACUGUCGCAGUGCCUUUGAUACUGAGUGGCUUGAAUUCUGUUGAAGAUGGCGGAAUGAGACAAGUAGCGGUGAAAUGCAUAGAUAUGUCUCAGAACACCGAUUGCGAAGGCAGCUGUCUAAGCAGCGAUUGACGCUGAUGCACGAAAGCGUGGGGAUCGAACAGG
rnacentral:rRNA from 1 species